AAAUAGUUGCGUUAGCGAUUGAACGGUUUGUUUGAGCUCUUUUUUGUUUUUUACAAAAAAAGCGAGUAGAGAAAGCGCGACCUUUA
rnacentral:misc_RNA from 1 species